UACGAAGGGUGCAAGCGUUACUCGGAAUUACUGGGCGUAAAGCGUGCGUAGGUGGUGAGUUAAGUCUGUCGUGAAAGCCCCGGGCUCAACCUGGGAAUGGCGAUGGAUACUGGCUCGCUAGAGUGCGGUAGAGGAGAGUGGAAUUCCCGGUGUAGCAGUGAAAUGCGUAGAGAUCGGGAGGAACAUCAGUUGUGAAGGCGGCUCUCUGGACCAGCACUGACACUGAGGCACGAAAGCGUGGGGAGCAAACAGG
rnacentral:rRNA from 1 species